rnacentral:rRNA from 1 species
AACGAACGCUGGCGGCAUGCCUAACACAUGCAAGUCGAACGAAACCUUCGGGGCUAGUGGCGCACGGGUGCGUAACGCGUGGGAACCUGCCCUUUGGUUCGGAAUAACUCACCGAAACGUGUGCUAAUACCGGAUGAUGUCUUCGGACCAAAGAUUUAUCGCCAUUGGAUGGGCCCGCGUUUGAUUAGCUAGUUGGUAGGGUAACAGCCUACCAAGGCGACGAUCAGUAGCUGGUCUGAGAGGAUGACCAGCCACACUGGGACUGAGACACGGCCCAGACUCCUACGGGAGGCAGCAGUGGGGAAUCUUGGACAAUGGGCGAAAGCCUGACGCAGCAAUGCCGCGUGAAUGAUGAAGGUCUUAGGGUUGUAAAGCUCUUUUACCCGGGAUGAUAAUGACAGUACCGGGAGAAGAAGCUCCGGCUAACUUCGUG